rnacentral:rRNA from 1 species
GACGAACGCUGGCUGCGUGCCUAAUACAUGCAAGUCGAACGCAGUGGGGACGGGUGAGUAACACGUGGGUAACCUCCCAUCAGAGGGGAUAAAACUUGGAAACAGGUGCUAAACCGAUACUGAAGGAUGGACCCGCGGUGCAGUCGCUAGUUGGGGAGGUCACGGCUACCCAAGUCCCCGAUGCAUAGCCGGCCGUACGGGGCGAUCGGCAACACUGGGACUGAGUAACGGCCCAGAAGCCUACGGGAGGCAGUAGUAGGGAAGCUUCGGCAAGGGACGAAAGUCUGACCGAGCAACGCCGGGUGAGUGAAGAAGGUGUUCGGAUCGUAAAACUCUGUUGUUAGAGAAGCGGUAUCUAACCAGAAAGCCACGGCUAACUACGUGCCAGCCGCCGCGGUAAUAC